rnacentral:lncRNA from 1 species
ACCCGGCCCUGGGGAGGAGCCUGCGGUCGGGUCUCGGCGACCCGCCGGGACUUUCUAAUCAGAGUCGUGGGGAUUUUACGGGUGGAGUUACUCCGAAACCUUUAAGGCCGAGUGUGAUAGGUAGUUCAAAGCUUCCUGUUUCUUCAGUCUGACAGCUUCAAAUGUCCCGGGUUGUGCUCAAAGCCUCCCUCUUGUGAGAAGAAUCUCUUUGGUUGCCUGUUAAAGCGGUCAGCCAGCUUGCAACACGGAAGCAGCUUUUAGAGGAAUUAAAACCAAAACAAGGAGCAAAUUCUGGAUUAAAAAGAUAUUUGCAACCAUUCUUCCAAUCAAUUUUAGAAAAUUUCCACCACCUCAAAAAGAAAUCCUGAUGAAGAAACAUCCUGAGAAGGUUGACAUGCUGAAUGCCUUAAAGAACUUCAAUUGAGAUGCCAGCUGAAAGUGUAACUGGAAUUUCUAUGGCUUAAAUAACGAGAGCUGGAGUGCAGUAGCAUGAUCACGGCUCACUGCUGCCUCGACCUCCCGGGCUCAGAGAUUCUCCUGCCUCAGCCUCCUGAGUAGCUGGGACCACAGAGUUUCACUCUUGUUGCCCAGGCUGGAGUACAAUGGCAUGAUCUCGGCUCACUGAAACCUCUGCCUCCUGGGUUCAUUCAAGCGAUUCUCCUGCCUCAGCCUCCUGAGUAGCUGGGAUUACAGGCAUGCGCCACCACGCCCGGCUAAUUUUGUAUUUUUAGUAGAGAUGGGGUUUCUCUAUGUUGGUGAGGCUAGUUUCGAACUCCUGACCUCAGGUGAUCCACCUGCCUCGGCCUCCCAAAGUGCUGGGAUUACAGGCAUGGGCUACUGCGCCUGGCCUGUAUCUCCAAUACUUUACAUAUGCCUGACGAACUGCUAUUCCAUCUUGUAGGGCUAAAAUCAUUUUUUUUUUUCAUUUUUGGGAAGCCUCCUCUACAUACCUCCACCUUCUAACUCCAAGAAGUCAAAAUGAAGUCUCACCAUAUUGAUCAGACUGGUCUUGAAGUCCUGGCUUCAAAUGAUCUUCCCUCCUCAGCCUCCCAAACUGCUGGGAUUAUAGAUCUUGCAGACAACAGAUCAUGGAACUUCUUGGCCUCCAUAAUCUCAUGAGCCAAUUUCUAUAUUCCAUAGGGGAAAAAAGGAGAGCUGAGAAUGCACAGAAAUUUUCAUGUGCCAAGUUUGGAAGUACAAAAAGACCUUUAGGUGCGGGCCCUCUGUCUUGGACUUCUCAACCUCCAGAACAAUGGUGUCAGAAGCAGGAUCCCAAGCAGAGCUUCUAGUGACCUCCAGGAGCACUGAGUGAACACUCGAGGUACCAGCACUCGAGGACCCACUUGUGUCCAUGGAUCUCUCAGAGCGGCUCCGGAUGGUAAAAAGCAAUUUGAAGGGGUGUUCUAUACUUUGGCAUAGGAAAUCCAUUCCCUCUCAAGGAGAAGCAGUGGACACAGUCUCAGAAGUUGAGAGCCAUUUGAGAAUCAGUUGAGAAGUUUGAGAACCAGAUAUGUGGGGCUUUGGUAUCAGGAUGAUGCUGGCCUCAUAAAAUGAGUUCAGGAGGAUUCCCUCUUUUUCUAUUGAUUGGAAUAGUUUCAGAAGGAAUGGUACCAGCUCCUCCUUGUACCUCUGGUAGAAUUUGGCUGUGAAUCCAUCUGGUCCUGGACUUUUUUUGGUUGGGGGUCCUGAAACCAAUCCUCCGUGGAUACCCAGGGACAAUUGUAUCUGGCUGGAUUCUGGGAAGUGAACUUAUGGAAUCAAAGGUUAUGCAAACGUUUUUGAGACUUAGACUGGCUCUCCUUGCUCCUCAAGCUUGCAGACAGCCUAUUGUGGGACCUUGUGAUCAUACUUGAAACACUUGUACAUCAGCUCAGAGUGUGCAUUGUCCACUGCAAAUACUAGUGCAAAUUAAGAAGAAGAGAAAAAAGAAGGUCCACGAGCUCCCAAUGACAUCUAGGACUGCUGCUGUCUCAUAGCACAUACUCCUCCCACAAGGACUACAAAUGACAAGAGAAAAUUUGUAUAAUUGGAAUUCUGGACAUUUCUCAAAUGCUCAUGGACUCAAAUACUUUCUGCUGUAUUUGGAAUUUUCAAACCAAAACAUGAUAGCAACCAGACCAGAAAAAUGUAAUUGACCAGAAAUGUCCUACAAUAUUUACAAUAUACUCAUUUUUCUGCAUGUUCAAUUUUUAAAGUUGGGUAUUCUGUACUGGAAUCUAAUGGGAUUUGACUAAUAAUCCUCACAAAAAUGAUGCCAGGAUGUUCUUCAGCUUUUGAUAGACUUUAAAAUACACAGGCAGCAUAAUCUUGAGCAAGAAAAGAGCUGACUUUCUGUACAGGAGAAAUAAAGAAUAGUGUAGCACUUGACAACC